rnacentral:rRNA from 1 species
UACGGAGGGAGCUAGCGUUGUUCGGAAUUACUGGGCGUAAAGCGCACGUAGGCGGCUUUGUAAGUUAGAGGUGAAAGCCCGGGGCUCAACUCCGGAACUGCCUUUAAGACUGCAUCGCUUGAAUCCAGGAGAGGUGAGUGGAAUUCCGAGUGUAGAGGUGAAAUUCGUAGAUAUUCGGAAGAACACCAGUGGCGAAGGCGGCUCACUGGACUGG